GAUGAACGCGGCGGCGUGCUUAACACAUGCAAGUCGAACGAUGAAGCCCAGCUUGCUGGGUGGAUUAGUGGCGAACGGGUGAGUAACACGUGAGUAACCUGCCCUUGACUCUGGGAUAAGCCCAGGAAACUGGGUCUAAUACCGGAUAGGAGCGCCUGUCGCAUGACGGGUGUUGGAAAGAUUUUUCGGUCAUGGAUGGACUCGCGGCCUAUCAGCUUGUUGGUGAGGUAAUGGCUCACCAAGGCGACGACGGGUAGCCGGCCUGAGAGGGUGACCGGCCACACUGGGAUGAGACACGGCCCAGACUCCUACGGGAGGCAGCAGUGGGGAAUAUUGCACAAUGGGCGGAAGCUGAUGCAGCGAACGCCCGCGUGAGGGA
rnacentral:rRNA from 1 species